rnacentral:rRNA from 1 species
UACGAGGGGUGCAAGCGUUGCUCGGAAUUAUUGGGCGUAAAGGGUAGGUAGGUGGUCUCAUUUGUCUGGGGUGAAAGCCUUGAGCUUAACUCAAGAAGUGCCCUAGAAACGGUGAGACUGGAGUCCUGGAGAGGGUCGUGGAAUUCCCGGUGUAGCGGUGAAAUGCGUAGAGAUCGGGAGGAACACCAGAGGCGAAGGCGGCGACCUGGACAGGUACUGACGCUGAGGUGCGAAAGCGUGGGGAGCAAACAGG